AUUGAACGCUGGCGGUAUGCUUAACACAUGCAAGUCGAACGGUAACAGGCUUUCGGGCGCUGACGAGUGGCGGACGGGUGAGUAACGCGUAGGAAUCUGCCUUAUAGUGGGGGACAACGUGGGGAAACCCACGCUAAUACCGCAUACGCCCUACGGGGGAAAGCGGGGGAGUCUUAGGACCUCGCGCUAUGAGAUGAGCCUGCGUUAGAUUAGCUAGUUGGUAGGGUAAAGGCCUACCAAGGCGACGAUCUAUAGCUGGUCUGAGAGGACGAUCAGCCACACUGGGACUGAGACACGGCCCAGACUCCUACGGGAGGCAGCAGUGGGGAAUAUUGGACAAUGGGCGCAAGCCUGAUCCAGCAAUACCGCGUGUGUGAAGAAGGCCCUAGGGUUGUAAAGCACUUUCAAUGGGGAGGAAAACCUGCCGGUCAAUACCGGUAGCUUGACAUUACCUAUAGAAGAAGCACCGGCUAACUCCGUGCCAGCAGCCGCGGUAAU
rnacentral:rRNA from 1 species